UACAGAGGGGGCAAGCGUUGUUCGGAAUUACUGGGCGUAAAGGGCGCGUAGGCGGCCUUCUAAGUCGAACGUGAAAUCCCCGGGCUCAACCCGGGAACUGCGUCCGAUACUGGAAGGCUUGAAUCCGGGAGAGGGAUGCGGAAUUCCAGGUGUAGCGGUGAAAUGCGUAGAUAUCUGGAGGAACACCUAUGGCGAAGGCAGCUCGCUGGGACGGUACUGACGCUGAGGCGCGAAAGCGUGGGGAGCGAACAGG
rnacentral:rRNA from 1 species